AGUUUGAUCCUGGCUCAGGACGAACGCUGGCGGCGUGCCUAACACAUGCAAGUCGAACGGAACUGUUUUGAAAGAUUUCUUCGGAAUGAAUUUGAUUUAGUUUAGUGGCGGACGGGUGAGUAACGCGUGAGUAACUUGCCUUCAAGAGGGGGAUAACAUUCUGAAAAGAAUGCUAAUACCGCAUGACAUAUCGGAACCACAUGGUUUUGAUAUCAAAGAUUUUAUCGCUUGAAGAUGGACUCGCGUCCGAUUAGUUAGUUGGUGAGGUAACGGCUCACCAAGACCGCGAUCGGUAGCCGGACUGAGAGGUUGAACGGCCACAUUGGGACUGAGACACGGCCCAGACUCCUACGGGAGGCAGCAGUGGGGGAUAUUGCGCAAUGGGGGCAACCCUGACGCAGCAACGCCGCGUGAAGGAUGAAGGUUUUCGGAUUGUAAACUUCUUUUAUUAAGGACGAAACUUGACGGUACUUAAUGAAUAAGCUCCGGCUAACUACGUGCCAGCAGCCGCGGUAAUACGUAGGGAGCAAGCGUUGUCCGGAUUUACUGGGUGUAAAGGGUGCGUAGGCGGCUUUGCAAGUCAGAUGUGAAAUCUAUGGGCUCAACCCAUAAACUGCAUUUGAAACUGUAGAGCUUGAGUGAAGUAGAGGCAGGCGGAAUUCCCCGUGUAGCGGUGAAAUGCGUAGAGAUGGGGAGGAACACCAGUGGCGAAGGCGGCCUGCUGGGCUUUAACUGACGCUGAGGCACGAAAGCGUGGGUAGCAAACAGGAUUAGAUACCCUGGUAGUCCACGCUGUAAACGAUGAUUACUAGGUGUGGGGGGUCUGACCCCUUCCGUGCCGGAGUUAACACAAUAAGUAAUCCACCUGGGGAGUACGGCCGCAAGGUUGAAACUCAAAUGAAUUGACGG
rnacentral:rRNA from 1 species